rnacentral:rRNA from 1 species
CCUAGUAACGGCGAGUGAAGCGGGAAAAGCUCAAAUUUGAAAUCUGGUAGCCUCAGGCUGCCCGAGUUGUAAUCUAUAGAAACGUUUUCCGCGCUGGCCCAUGUACAAGUCUCCUGGAAUGGAGCGUCAUAGAGGGUGAGAAUCCCGUCCUUGACAUGGACUACCAGUGCUUUGUGAUACGUUUUCAAAGAGUCGAGUUGUUUGGGAAUGCAGCUCAAAAUGGGUGGUAAAUUCCAUCUAAAGCUAAAUAUUGGCGAGAGACCGAUAGCGAACAAGUACCGUGAGGGAAAGAUGAAAAGCACUUUGGAAAGAGAGUUAAACAGUAUGUGAAAUUGUUGAAAGGGAAACGAUUGAAGUCAGUCAUGUCUAUUGGACUCAGCCGGUUCUGCCGGUGUACUUCCUUUAGAUGGGGUCAACAUCAGUUUUGAUCGCUGGAAAAGGGCAGGAGGAAUGUAGCACUCUCGGGUGAACUUAUAGCCUCCUGUCGUAUACAGUGGUUGGGACUGAGGAACGCAGCAUGCCUUUAUGGCCGGGGUUCGCCCACGUACAUGCUUAGGA